rnacentral:rRNA from 1 species
UGCCAGCCGCCGCGGUAAUACGGAGGGUGCAAGCGUUGUUCGGAAUUAUUGGGCGUAAAGCGCGUGUAGGCGGUUCGUUAAGUCUGAUGUGAAAGCCCGGGGCUCAACCCCGGACGUGCAUUCGAAACCCCUGGACUUGAGUAUGGGAGAGGAGGGCGGAAUUCCUGGUGUAAAGGUGAAAUUCGUAGAUAUCAGGAGGAACACCGAUGGCGAAGGCAUCUCUCUGGACCGAUACUGACGCUGAGGCGCGAAGGCGUGGGUAGCGAACAGGAUUAGAUA